UGAUUUGCUUGUGUAACGUAAAUAAAAUAAUUCAUGCUUCGCGUUUAAAUUGCUUAGUACUUCCGAUUAAUUUAUUAAAUUGUGGGCCUGAGGAAAUUGCUUUGAAGAUGCCAGCAUAUGCAAUGCGGUGAUGUGUGUGCAGCACCGGCUGGGAGGAUUCGAUGCAAUUACAAUGAGCGUUAGAAACGCUCGCCGAAACUAAGCAUUGAUUGUUUUCCAUAUUUAUAACGAUUAGAAGAGGAAAAAGAGCCAAAACGCUUACCUAAUAUACUACUUGAAGAAAAGUUAGCUGAAAGGCUACGCUGGAAAUAGUCACAAAAUAAAAGAUAUGAAAAAAGUCACCUACAUUUGCGGUAAUUUAAUUUAUAAUACAUAUUUCAAGUCUGCCACGGGCAUUAAUAAGGUGAAAAUGAAAAUAGAGGAUGAAGUUUGGACACGGAAAAGAUUAAAAUAGAGAAGCAACAAAAAAAACUUCGAAACAAGGGCAAAAUUAAAAUCUCACUGCAUACUGAGAGUAAUGUAUGUAAUAUUUUAGCUCAAUUGUUAUUUUUAAUUUGCAAUUUUUACAUGUCUAAUUCUCUAUCAUCUUGGCUAUCAGAAAUCCACCUUGGCUACUAAUGACUAUGAUGACUUUAUGUAAAUACUGUUGAGAUGCGCAUACCAUAUAAACUGUACACUUAAAAAUUCUAGAUAACAAAUUUCUAACA